rnacentral:rRNA from 1 species
UAGCGUAUAUUAAAGUUGUUGCGGUAAAAAAGCUCGUAGUUGGAUUUCUGUUGAGGACGGUCGGUCUACACCAUGUGUAGUAUCAGGCUCGGCCUCGGCAUCCUCUCGAAAACUGUUUUUGUGCUUGAUUGCAUGAAGCAGGUCUCGGGACUUUUACUUUGAGGAAAUUAGAGUGUUCACGGCAGGCUAUCGCCAGAAUACAUUAGCAUGGAAUAAUACUAUAGGAUCUCGGUUCUAUUUUGUUGGUUUCUAGGAUUGAGAUAAUGAUUAAUAGGGACAAUUGGGGGCAUUCGUAUCAACACGUC